GGUUUACAUCUUGUCUUGUUGGGAAAAAAAAAAAUGUUAAGUUCUGCCUCGUUGGGUACAUCCUUGCAGAAUAAGUGUUCUUUUAAUAUAAAUCUGGAAAUUAUAUUGCCAUCAUAAAUUCUCUGGGAUGAUUUCCACUUAUGUAAGAGAUAGCAUUAUAUUGAAAAGCACUGAUUAAGGAAUUAAGUACUGGUUAAGGAAUUAUAGAAAAGUACUGGUUAAAGAACCUCUAAACUUCAGUAUAAUGUGACUUAUGUAAUUGCUUUAUCUGUUCUAAUUUAAGGCUUCUGAUUCUCCAAACCAGACAUUUCAACAAAACUCAUCUUCUGUAAUAAAUGCUAAUUAAGUUAGUGCUACACACACACAGACACACACACACAUGCAGACACACACACGUUUGUAUGUAAAUGGUUACCAUGCAAAGUGUUUUGAAAUUUGUUGUUUCUACAGGGACUAAUGUAAAAGGCUUGACAGAUAAAACUAGAAGAGGUGUAAUAAAGGGACAAUUCAAGAUACAAUCAAUGAAUCUCCCUGAGGCUGAUACAGAGCACUUCCCAGGUGCUGUUGGAAAAGGUAUAAUAAAGGGUGAAAUCAAGACACAAUCCAAGAGUUAUCCUGAGACUGAUACAGAACGCAUGAGAGAGACUGUUGGAAGAGAAAAAGCAAUUGAUGAACUCAAGACACAUCAUCAGAGUCACCCUGGUAAGAACAAGAAUUUUCCAAGUCUAAUAAUUUAUGGUUUAUGUCUUCUCUGGGACUUAAUUAACUAUGAAUCAUUAAUGAUAACAGUAACUGUAUGUUAGUAUUAAUGGACAGUGAUCUUCAUGAAUUUCCUCUUAUAAUUAGUUAAACUCUAGUAUUUACUGUCAAUGGAAAUCUAGCUGGAUAUUUUUCAGUUGUAAUCUCAUCCAUUUGGAAAGUAAUCCAUAUAAUCCAAUGCUCUAAUGACCUUAGAAUAUGCUUGGUUUAAGUAUUUAUAACUGUGAUUCUACUCACUUUCUUGCUGGCUUAGAAAGGAAUAUUGCUUUGAAAUUGAAAAAGCAAAAAAACUAGUUGAUGAGUGGUAUAAGAGGAGGAACAUAACAGUUAUUUCACUGAUUAGCAAUUUCCUCUACAUAAUUAAGUUGGUAUGUAAAUUUAUAUCUCUACUAGAGUGGAGUUCUCUAGCUGAGUUUUAUUAUUCACAGAUUACUGCUUUAGUCCUGGAGUAACAGGGUUCAAUACAUUUCUCUUUGUUGCAAGAAAUACUGUCAUUAUGAACUUUUUACAGAAUUGAUGCUGAAAGCUAGCAUUGGAAAAUAACUGAAUCCUCAGAUAUAAGCACCAAAAUACAUGUUUUCACUGAAAUUUAAGGCAAGAUUUCUGAAACUUUGCUUUUGAAUGCUUUAUUUUAUUAUAUUCUCGCUUUUAUUCCUGUAAAAAAAUAGUGUUGUAAAUGAAUCAAAUAAAUAUUACUUGCUCCAACAGCUUUUAACUGGGGAAAAGCUGGUGGUAUAAAAAUGAAAUUGUUGGAACCAAGCAGUUAAAUUUGGUGUAUUAUGAUAAGACAUUUUUCCAUGUCUUUAAUUUUCAGAGUAUUUUUGGUUAGGUUCUUUCAAUUAAUUUUUGCUUCAGUGUUGCUUACUAAUAGGAAUCCUUGUCAGUUUUGAAUAACAGCCUUAGACACAGCAGUAAAGUGCUUUCAUUUACAUCCAUUCAAUUUAAAAUGUCAUGCCUUUUAUCAACAAAGCUAAGUUAAUUAAUUUAUACUUAUUAAUGGUGAGUUUAUAAUUAAAUGCUCUAAAGAAAAUUUUAUAUUAGCAAUAUAAAUUCCUAAGAGAAAAGGUAUUAAAAGGAGAGUACAGAUCAAAUAU
rnacentral:lncRNA from 1 species